GUCUCUGGAACAGCUUCAAUGCCAUCCUCACCUGAGCCACAGAAAACGUCAAAAUUGGACAAACAUGUCACCUGAGGAGCUUCUGAGGUCUUGUAAGAAUUGGAAGGACAGAUAAAAGAGUUGGGGAGAAGUCGCCACGGUAAUAAAGUUAGCAAAUAAGCUAACAUGUUGCUGGUUGACUCAUUGCUGCCUCCUACAGUUUUAUUCACGGCUGCAUUAACGAGGAGGUGCCCUGGGGGCAAUCCUGUGGUCACCAUCUUCCCCCCCCCAGGCCUGGUGCUGCUGGUGGCUCAGCUGCAAGCCCCGGGGCCACUGGGGAACCUCUGGAGAGUAGAGAUGUGGUGCCAAGACGAGGAGGGCGACAUCACUUCCUGCACAGAGGGGGGUCGGGGUCU